UCUUUGCCCUUUCCCUACAGACCAGCUUGGCUUGUGUUUGCGGCUGUUGCUCAUUUUCCCAAUGUUUACUCAGCGUCUGUGCCAGAAAGCAAAACAACUCAUCAAUUAAGAGCGAGUGUCUCCUGCUAGGUUCAGGCAGGAACCUUGCUGCUACUACCAAGAGGGAGUCAUGCGCAACUAUCCCUUUUCAGAUGAAGAAGCUGAGGCAUGGAUCUGUUAGGAAACUUGCUUAAGGGUUGAUGAGAUGGCCCGCAAGCCUGAGAGUGCAAGAUCUAUCCCUAGAAACCAC
rnacentral:lncRNA from 1 species